rnacentral:tRNA from 1 species
GUCCUAGUACCUCAGUUUGGAUAGAGGAAUCGCCUCCUAAGCGAUCGGUCAAUGGUUCAACUCCAUUCUAGGACGCCA